rnacentral:rRNA from 1 species
AACGAACGCUGGCGGCAGGCUUAACACAUGCAAGUCGAACGCCCCGCAAGGGGAGUGGCAGACGGGUGAGUAACGCGUGGGAAUCUACCCAGUUCUACGGAACAACUGAGGGAAACUUCAGCUAAUACCGUAUACGCCCUAAGGGGGAAAGAUUUAUCGCAAUUGGAUGAGCCCGCGUUGGAUUAGCUAGUUGGUGGUGUAAUGGCCUACCAAGGCGACGAUACAUAGCUGGUCUGAGAGAAUGAUCAGCCACACUGGGACUGAGACACGGCCCACACUCGUACGGGAGGCAGCAGUGGGGAAUAUUGGACAAUGAGCGCAAGCAUGAUCCACGCAUGCCGCGUGAGUGAUGAAGGCCUUAGGGUUGUAAAGCUCUUUCAGUGGUGACGAUAAUGACGGUACCCACAGAAGAAGCCCCGGCUAACUUCGUGCCAGCCGCCGCCGUAACAC